GAGGCCAUACGUAGACCACACUGAGUCCCAGGACGCCUUGACUAGGGCCAAAUUUACGAAACUCUUUUGAGCUAUUCAAAGCUUGACUGCCGUAGUGGGUCACAAUCAAGCCCAACAUGACUAGAUCAUACCAUGGGAGAACUUUACGACUGGCUUUCUGGAGAACUUUUUCUCGAUAUACGUUUGGGAGAAGAAGGAAGAGGAGUUUUAGGACCUAUGUCAGGGAAACCUGACUGUCAAUUAGUACGCUACCAAAUUUAUUCAGUUAUCUCGAUCGCUCCCAUGAUGGUGGCCACAAAAAGCCAGAAGGCUUGAAAAUUCAUGAGAGGCCUCAAAGUAGACAUAUAUGAUCUCAUCAGAAUCCUGAAGUCCAGCACCUAUACGGAGGCACUUGAGCACACCCAGACGGCCGAAAGAAUUAUUAUAACUCGGUGACAAUACCUCUCCUAUUUUCAUGUACAACAGCAAUAAUAGUAGUAGAGGAGGAGGCCUGUUGGCCUUGACUCUGGCCGCGUUAAGAAGAGAUAUCGCACGACACCUAUCUAUACCCUCACCCACCUCUUGGUAAUCCUGUCCAGUCUACUUGAUCUUGUCGUCAUUGUGGAGAGGAUCACGGUGAUC
rnacentral:lncRNA from 1 species